rnacentral:rRNA from 1 species
CAGCAGUGGGGAAUCUUGCGCAAUGGGCGAAAGCCUGACGCAGCCAUGCCGCGUGAAUGAUGAAGGUCUUAGGAUUGUAAAAUUCUUUCACCGGGGACGAUAAUGACGGUACCCGGAGAAGAAGCCCCGGCUAACUUCGUGCCAGCAGCCGCGGUAAUACGAAGGGGGCUAGCGUUGCUCGGAAUUACUGGGCGUAAAGGGCGCGUAGGCGGACAUUUAAGUCAGGGGUGAAAUCCCAGAGCUCAACUCUGGAACUGCCUUUGAUACUGGGUGUCUUGAGUGUGAGAGAGGUAUGUGGAACUCCGAGUGUAGAGGUGAAAUUCGUAGAUAUUCGGAAGAACACCAGUGGCGAAGGCGACAUACUGGCUCAUUACUGACGCUGAGGCGCGAAAGCGUGGGGAGCAAACAGGAUUAGA